rnacentral:rRNA from 1 species
UACGUAGGGUGCGAGCGUUGUCCGGAAUUAUUGGGCGUAAAGAGCUCGUAGGCGGUUUGUCGCGUCUGCUGUGAAAACUCGGGGCUUAACCCCGAGCCUGCUUUCGAUACGGGCGGACUAGAGGUAGGUAGGGGAGAACGGAAUUCCUGGUGUAGCGGUGGAAUGCGCAGAUAUCAGGAGGAACACCGACGGCGAAGGCAGCUCGCUGGGACGGUACUGACGCUGAGGCGCGAAAGCGUGGGGAGCAAACAGG